AACGUUAAGCCUAAACGACAGAUGAAGACUCCUUUUCAACUCGAAGCUCUAGAGAAAGCUUAUGCUCAGGAGACUUAUCCAUCGGGAGCGACACGAGCGGAAUUAUCGGAGAUAUUGGGACUAUCAGAUCGGCAGUUGCAGAUGUGGUUUAGUCACCGGAGAUUGAAAGAAAAGAAGGAGAUCCCUUC